AUUAAAAGCAGAAGAGUGGUAUUUAUUUGAUUGUACAAACAUACAGUGAAAUUUGUCCUCUGGAUUUAACCCAACCUAAUUACAGACA